rnacentral:rRNA from 1 species
UACAGAGGGUGCAAGCGUUAAUCGGAUUUACUGGGCGUAAAGGGCGCGUAGGUGGUUACGUAAGUGAGAUGUGAAAGCCCCGGGCUCAACCUGGGAACUGCAUCUUAUACUGCGUAGCUGGAGUGAAGUAGAGGAUAGUGGAAUUUCCGGUGUAGCGGUGAAAUGCGUAGAUAUCGGAAGGAACACCAGUGGCGAAGGCGGCUAUCUGGACUUACACUGACACUGAGGCGCGAAAGCGUGGGUAGCAAACAGG